rnacentral:rRNA from 1 species
GGACUACAGGGGUAUCUAAUCCUUCUCGUUACCCUAGGCUUCGUCCCUCAACGUCAGUUUUUAUAUAGAAAAAUGCCUUCGCUGUUACCUGUCUUUCUAGUAUCAAAAAAUAUUGACUCUCCUCCAGAAAUUCAUUUUUCUCCUAUAAAACUCUAGAAGAUUAGUUCCUAUUAUGGCUUAAUCUUCUGUCUAGGUACCCUUUAAACCUAUUAAAGAUGAAUAACACUAGUCUUCUACGUGUUACCGCGGCGGCUGGCAC